CUUCUCUUAACUUUGUGGACCAUUCUUUUGACUUAUUUCUAACAUGCAGUCAUAUGUGACACUCAGCAAACCCUUAGCCAGUUCAGGUAUUUCAAGUGUUCCAGCUCAAACAGGUGCAAAAGCCCCUGAUUAGUUGCAUCAGGUGUGCUUGAGACAACACCUGUUCUAAAUAUUUGUGCUGUUGUGAGGGACUUUAUUCAGGAGGUUGAAUCAUUUAGAAACUGGCGAAGUCAUUAUAAGUUGCAUUUUCAGUAGGAAUUGGGGAAAAUCCCUUGAAGCAUUCAUUGUGUUGAGCUAUUUCAACUGCUUUUGUUUGAUUUGUUCAUUGCAAACAGCUGAAAGUCUGUAAAUUAAGGAUUUUUUUUUCAUUCUUACUUGUAUUUUCUUUUCCUGAUCAUCCACCAUAGCAGUCUUAACCAAUAGCUUAUCAAAAGGAUCCCC